AUUGAACGCUGGCGGCGUGCCUAACACAUGCAAGUCGAGCGGUAACAGGUGUAGCAAUACAUGCUGACGAGCGGCGGACGGGUGAGUAACGCUUGGGAAUCUGCCUAUUAGUGGGGGACGAACCCGGGGAAACGUCGGGCGUAAUACCGCAUACGCUCUACGGAGGAAAGCCGGGACCGCAAGGCCUGCGCUAAUAGAUGAGCCCAAGUCGGAUUAGCUAGUUGGUAGGGUAAUGGCCUACCAAGGCGACGAUCCGUAACUGGUCUGAGAGGACGACCAGUCACACCGGAACUGAGACACGGU
rnacentral:rRNA from 1 species